GAAUCCAAACAUUCUCGUGGACAGGUUAC
rnacentral:piRNA from 1 species